rnacentral:tRNA from 1 species
GGUGGCGUGUCCGAGCGGCCGAAGGUGCAACACUCGAAAUGUUGUGUGGGUUUAUCGCCCACCGUGGGUUCAAAUCCCACCGCCACCGCCA